UACGGGGGGGGCAAGCGUUGUUCGGAAUUACUGGGCGUAAAGGGCUCGUAGGCGGCCAACUAAGUCAGACGUGAAAUCCCUCGGCUUAACCGGGGAACUGCGUCUGAUACUGGAUGGCUCGAGUUUGGGAGAGGGAUGCGGAAUUCCAGGUGUAGCGGUGAAAUGCGUAGAUAUCUGGAGGAACACCGGUGGCGAAGGCGGCAUCCUGGACCAAUACUGACGCUGAAUAGCGAAAGCCAGGGGAGCAAACGGG
rnacentral:rRNA from 1 species